CUUGUGUUCUGGCGUCCUGGCUCCCCCUUGCCGUAGCAUUUAGUGGCCUCACACCCAGAGUUGAACUCAGGUCUCCCGAGUGGGAGGCGGAAACCCCACCAGCUGAACUAGUCAGUGGCUCGAUGUGAAACGUUUGAUCUGUGUACAAAUCAUCUACGGAUAGAUGUGUGUUACUAAAAAUGGUUUUUACUAUGGUAUAUAGAUGAUAGUUCCAACAAAUUUCUCUUUGGUACAUCCAAGGUCUCAUGGAGUUCUCUGAGGGAUUCCGCCCUGAUGGGACACUGGGGACGUGAACUUGGUUCUUCUGGACCAUAAACCACUGAGUUUCUCUGCAUAGUUCAGUCAUUCUCCUGUUGGACUGGUCACCAGCUUCCUGGGAGGGGGCCACAAAAAUGCUAGUGGGUCCACCAUUAUAUGUUAA